rnacentral:rRNA from 2 species
UGAGCCAAGUUUAGGGUUUUCUCAAAACCCAAGCAGUAUUGAACUGAAGAGUUUGAUCAUGGCUCAGAUUGAACGCUGGCGGCAGGCCUAACACAUGCAAGUCGAGCGGAUGAAGGGAGCUUGCUCCUGGA